UUUUUCCCCAGUUUUGAAGCAGAGAACAAGAUGGAGAGUGUCACAAACCUAACUCAAGGAUUUGCUGGUUCUGCCAAACUGUGUAAGGGGAAACUAAUUCCAGGCUAAUGCCCGUCCUGUGCUGAAGAUUCGGGAGGCCUGGGAGGACCCACUGACCGAGAACUGCUGACCUGAUAAAGUACGUGGGCCAUGUCAGAGCUUCUCGGUGACUUUCUGUGCUAAAGGAAAGGAUCAGAACUUCAAACAAAGAUCCGCAGCCGCAAAACAAUUAACUCAAGACCCAACAUGUAUCUGGCUAAGGGGAUGGAUAUUAACUUGAGGAUCCACGAUAUUUGAAUCGCAACCUUCCCCAGUCUCACAUCUUGCGUGGUUGGCCCGUCGGUGUUGCCAAAAAUCACCCCUCCCCUCAAAAUGAAUUUCUCUGAUCAAUUAUUUAGUGUGGUCUGGGUUAUACAACAUCAGCUUCACCCUGAGGGGGAACAAAUUUCAUGCUCCCUCGUGGCCAGCUGGAAAAUUUGCAGUUUCAAUUAAAAAGGCAAAUUUUCAGUGUGGCAAAGACGGUUGGCUGAGUUUAAAGGACAUUAAUGAAACUAGUAGUUAAAAAAAAAAAAAGCAACGUUGCGAUGGAGCAGGAACCCAGGGACCUUCAGGUUAAAUAUCAACCUGGGAAUUUUCCUAAGAAAAACUGGCAGGCUUAUCUCCCCUCAAGUUUUAAAGUCUUAGAACAGGCCCUC
rnacentral:lncRNA from 1 species